CCAGGAGAGAUGGGAAUAAGGUCAGCUGGGGAGGAAGAGAUGGGAAUUUCCUGGUGGAAGUGAGCCUGCCUCACUCCUGAUCCCUCUAAGACCAGCGGCCACACCUGGCACAGGCGUUUGUGACACAGGGCCUUGGUUAACCCUGGGGGAAGGCACAGCCCGAGGUGCCAAACCACAGGAAUCCUGUCCAGGAGGGAAGGAUCAGGCUGAAUGGGAAUGUGGCUCAGGGGCUGCUGUCCAGAGCCACGUGCUGCUCAGUAACUGGGCUGACACUGCAGCAGAGGGUUCACAGGUAAACACAGUGAGCACAUUUUUAGCAUAUACCUGGGAAUUCAUGGAGGAGGAGAGGAAUGAUUCAGGUAUUUCUAAGGAAUAAAAUCCCAAUGUUCUACCCAUGUCAGAGUAUGUCUGUGAGAUGGGUGGGUUUGAGAGACUGUUAGAAUUUGGGGACUGGAAGAAAGUGAUGCUUUCAGGCAGGUGGGAAACCUUUGGAAAGCCAGUAGUCAUCCAUCCUGCCAGGCAAGGUGGAGCCAGGCUCCUCUGUUCCUCCUCUGUUCCAGCAGUGCCUGGGAGCUGACACUGGGAUCCUUGUCCAGCUCUGAUUCCCCAUUGGUUUGUGCUGGCUCUAUACUUGGAGCACAUUCCUGCAUUCCUACCCCUCGAUCCGAGAAGCUCCAUGGCUAUGACACUGCUCCCCAGUGAAGGGACCAGGCACAGACUGGGCUGAAUUGGCUGGGGACAGCUGAGCUGAGCUGAGCUGAGCUAGCCAGUGGGACCUUUGGCACUGGAUGUGCCAGCCUCUCCUCUGACAUGACUUUUGGGAUAAGGCCCAGAGCAGCUCAGCUGUAGCUGACUCACAGUGCCGGAUAAGCAGAUAAUGAUGGGCUGCGGGAUCACUGGGGAUCCUGUUUGGGCACCUGAACAAAGCUUCUGCUUUUCCUACUAAUAAUGAUAAAAAAAGAUCCAAAAGCCUUUUCAAAGCUUCUCCUGCUUGGAUUUCAGACCCAUGCUGGAGCUGGGAGUGCUUUAAAGCAUGAAAUAACCUGAGAUGUGAGAGAUUUUCCAGUUUCUCAAGACAGACUGUACUUGGCUGUAAUUAUAGAUGUGGUGUAAAGAUAAUGUGCAUUAUUAUAAGUGUCUUUGAAGUCAGUUCUUUCUCCAGGAGGGUUGCUACAUACCCUUCAGAUUCGCAGUGAGAGCUAGUAAAUAUUAUUCCCACUAUUCAGGGGAAGUAGCAGAGGCAGGGAUUUGUAUAAACCUAAAAAACUCAGUAGCUGAGCUAAAAGCAGGAGGCAAGAGUUCCCAGGGCUUUAUCCCAGCUGUGUGUUGAGGGAAGUGAAGAUUGCACACUGUGGGUAUCAGAUCUGCUGCCGUCUCUGUGUGCAUCCAGUCGGGAUGGAGGGACUGGGAUACCUGCAAAGCCUUUUCUUCCAGGGAAACCAGGAAGUGAGAUAUCAAGUGAGGGAAAAAAAAAAAAAAAAGUGAGCCAAACCAUGAGGAAGAUGUUGGUCUUAUCUCUGAGUGGCAUUUGGCCAAAGGCUGGGGUCAAACUCAGCGUGGUCAGAGGUGGGGACAUGGAAAAGUGUCAAAUAUCCACGGCUUGGGAACAUGCCAGUGGAGGGGUUGGGUGCAGGGGUGACACAAUAGGAAGCAGCUCCAACCCCAGGGCUCAGCUGCCCAUGGAAAAGAUUUGGGAGCUGUUGGGAAGGGCUGGCUCAGGUGAAGCCUUGAGCUGCUGGAGAGUGGGAUGGGAUGGACAGACAGAUUGCAGCUGGGAGGGAUGGAUGGACAGAACUGGGUGAGCAUUCUGGUGUCUCAGCACCAAGAAAGGCACAGACAGAGCAAGGCAGGGAUGGCACCGAGAGAGGAAAGGGGGUCAGGUGAUAAAGGAGGGUCAGAGAAAAGGAAAGUAAAGAACCAAGUGAAAUAGCAG